rnacentral:rRNA from 1 species
AAUGAGGAUCCAUUGGAGGGCACGGCUAGUUCCACUAGCCGUGGUAAUUCCAGCUCCAAUAGUAUAUAUGAAAGCUGCUGCAGUUAAAAAGUAUGUAGUUGUAUCUUGGGAUAGAGCUGGUGGUCCACUGCGAGGUGAGUUGCUGCCUGAUCAGCCCCUGCCUCUUCGCAAUCCCCUUGAUGCUCUUGACUGUUCUAUUUUGUUGUUUUUCAGAACUGCAGCCAUGAUUAAGAUGGACAGCAGUGCGCAUUUCUUCCAUGGUGGGGCAGCAUGACCGGCCCCGGUCAGCUGGGAAGGCCAUGUUGGACAGGUAGCUCUCCGCUCAGGUGGAUAAUGUUACAGGCCCCUUUCUGCAGUUUUGCAGUCUGCAAGGUCAACAGAGAUUGACCGCUGCCACACCCUCCUCUGGCAACCGUACCAGCCCCUCUCAGGGGUCGGAGCACCCUGCUCCUGGUGCGACUGUCGUGCACUAUCCUCAGUGCACCCCAACCGCAUCACGCUGCUGGGCAGGGAGGCCCAUGAAUGGCACCAGGGAUCUGCAGUGAUGUCGGUUACCCACCUGCCCCAUCUUGAAACAUGGACUAAGGAGUGUAAAAAGUGCGCAAGUCAGAGGGCCAAACAAAACCCUGUGGAGUAAUGAAGGAGAGGGCCAGCACAGCAUUGAGGUGGGCCCACCACUGGCCCAUCUCGUCCGCUCUGUCAGGGAGGUGGAGCAUGAUCAUGUGUGAUAGGACCCAAAAUAUGUGAACAAUACCUGGGCUUGGCGAAGCCAGUGGAAAUGCUGGUUGAGGUCUGUAUCAGUCCUGACACACAAAUCGGUCGUCCUACCUGGGUAUAGAGGUGAAAGACUAAUUAAAUCAUCUAGUAGUUGGUUCCCUCUGAAGCUUCUUCUCAGAUAUUCUGGUGCUUGGAAACCCACGUUUUUUGCUUGUAAUGGAAUGAUUAGAGGUCUUAGGGCAAAAUCAAUCUCAACAUAUUCUCAAACUUUAAAUGGGCAAGAAGCCUGCGUUUGCUGGCAUGAAGCCUGGCAUCGAAUGUGAGUAGGAGGGCUGUUGCAGUGCAUGUGCCGCGGCUGCAGGUGUUAGUGGUUGUAGCUAUUAUUCAAACAAGAACUUUGAUGACUGAAGUGGAGAAGGGUUCCAUAUGAACAGCAGGUGAAUAUGGGUCAGUCGGUCCUAAGAGAUAGGCAAGCCCCAUUCGGAAGGGACAGGCGAUGGCCUCCAUUGGUCUCAGCCGAUACAAAGGGAGUUGGGUUCAGAUCCCCAAUCCCAGAGUGGCAGAGACAGGCGCCCUUGUGGUUUCCAGUGCGGUAACGCAAAUGAUCUCAGAAAAGCCAGCGUGAGCCCCGGAGUGAGUUAUUUUUUCUUUGUGAAGAGCAGGGCACCUUAGAAUAGGUUAACCCUGAGAUAGGGGCCCAAGCCUUGGAAAUCAUUGCGGUUCCCACGGCAUCCGGUAAGCUGUCACUUGUCCUUUAAAAUUUCUGGGGAGAUGGUGUAAAUCUCAUGCCUGGAUACACCCAUAUCCUCAGUGAGUCUCCAAGGUGAGCAGCCUCUGGCAUGUUGGAACAAUGUAGGUAAGGGAAGUUGGCAAGUCAGAUCUGUAACUUCAGGAUAAGGAUUGGCUCUAAGGGAUGGGCCAUUCAGGCUACAGUGCGAAACAAGGAAUGGCAUGUGCCACAUCUGGACAAGGUCCCUUCCCUCACAGGUGCCAGUGCCAACUCUGCACGUGAGCCAGGUCCUUCCUGUGGAUCACCCGAGCUGCAGUGCUCACAAUUCUCUGUUCCCCACAUGGGUUUCUAGGCUGGCGUUCGGCCGACACCUAGCAGCUGACUUGGAACUGGUGGCACCAGGUCGAUCUUACUUUUUAAUUAAAACAAAGCACUGCAAAGGCCCACUGCAGUUGUUGACACAAUAUGGUUUCUUCCCAGUGCUGUGAAUGUCAAAGUGAAGAAAUUCAAUCAAGGGAGGGUAAACGGCGGAGUAACUAUGACUCUUGUAAGGUAGCCAAAUGCCUUGUCAUUUAAUUAGUGGCACGUAUGAUUGCAUGAACAAGAUUCCACUGUCCCCACCUAUUAUCUAGCGAAGCCACAGGCAAUGGCCGGGCUUGGCAGAGUCCAGAGGGAAAGGAGACCCUGUUAAGCUUAGCUUAUUGUGAAGGGACAUGUUACAAUAUAUGUAGGAUAAGCGGCAGGCCCUCAGGCCGCCACUUAAAUACCGCUACUCUUAUUGUUUUCUUACCCGGUGAGGCAGGGGACGAACCCUGUGGUGCCCUUGCUUCUGCCUCCAAGCGCUCUGCUCCAGGGACAGUGGCAGGUGGAGUGUUUGACUGGGGCAGUAUACAUAUCAAACGAUAAUGCAGGUGUCCUAAGGCAAGCUCAGGGAGGACAGUAUACUCCAUAGCAGAAAGGUAAACGCUUGCUUGAUCUUGAUUUUAUAAAUACAAACUGUGAAAGUGGGGCCUCCUGAUCCUUCUGAAUUUUUGGGCUUCAAGCAGGUUUCAGAAAAGUUACCACAGGAUAACUGGUUUGUGGUGGCCGAGUGAAGCCACUUUUAAAUCCUUCAAUGUCGGCUCUUCCUGUCAUUGUGAAGCAGAAUUCACCAAGCGUUGGAUUGUUCAUCCACUAAUAGGGAACAUGAGCUGGGUUUAAACUGUUAUGAGAAAGGUUAGUUUUACCCUACUGAUGUAGUGUUGUUGGAAUAGUAAUUCUGCUCAGUACGCGAGGAACCGCAGGUUCAGACAUUUGGUGUAUGUGCUUGGCUGAAGAUCCAAUCGGGCAAAUCUACCAUCUGGGGGAUUAUGACUGAACGCAUCAAAGUCAGAAAACCCCUAAACUGUAACGAUAUUGCAGCACUGCAUAGCUUCAGUUGGCCUAGGAUAGCUGUCCUCUGAGCUGUUGCGCAGAGCCGCUUCCCUCAGGACUCAAGUGUAGACAGAAGGGGGACACCUCUCUCAUCCAUAGUGCCCCACAU